CGAACGGGUGAGUAACGCGUGAGGAACCUGCCUCAAAGAGGGGGACAACAGUUGGAAACGACUGCUAAUACCGCAUAAGCCCACGGCUCGGCAUCGAGCAGAGGGAAAAGGAGUAAUCCGCUUUGAGAUGGCCUCGCGUCCGAUUAGCUAGUUGGUGAGGUAACGGCCCACCAAGGCGACGAUGGAUAGGGGUUCUGAGAGGAAGGUCCCCCACAUUGGUACUGAGACACAGACCAA
rnacentral:rRNA from 1 species